rnacentral:lncRNA from 1 species
UGAUAUCCUUGCUGUUCCCGUGUCAAGUGUUGCAUCAGAAUCUGCUUUCAGCUUGAGUAAGAAGGUUAUAACCCCGAGCCGAGCCUCACUUAAACCAAAGACGGUUGAGGCCUUGAUGUGUUUGCAAGAUUGGUAUCGCUGCAAAUUGGAGAAGAAAGAUGGUAUAUAGUUUAACUUACUUUGUUUAUUUCUUCAUGCUAUGUACUUUAGAGUUUAUAGCUAACAUGUUGUUGUAGUUGUUGUAGGUAAUAAGAGAAAGGCAGAAGUGGUUGAGCUAGAUGAUGAAAAUUCUUCUUCCGAUGAUGAAUGUAACAUCCAUAUUCUUUGUUCAUGUCAACUUGUCAAGUUCAACAUGUACUUUAGCUAACCUGAUGUUUAUUGCAUUUUGUAGAGUUCUUGCUAGAGCACUGAGAUGAGUAGAAGAUUCGGAGAAGGCAUGUCGAGAUGGCAACCAGCAGCUACUGGUCCUUAUUUUUGGUUCUAUGAAUUGGCCAUCUGGCAUGUAAUAAUACAUUUAUGCACUUGUGUUUCUA